rnacentral:rRNA from 1 species
UACGGGGGGGGCAAGCGUUGUUCGGAAUUACUGGGCGUAAAGGGCUCGUAGGCGGCCAACUAAGUCAGACGUGAAAUCCCUCGGCUUAACCGGGGAACUGCGUCUGAUACUGGAUGGCUUGAGUUUGGGAGAGGGACGCGGAAUUCCAGGUGUAGCGGUGAAAUGCGCAGAUAUCAGGAGGAACACCCGUGGCGAAAGCGGCUCUCUGGGACGGUACUGACGCUGAGACGCGAAAGCGUGGGGAGCAAACAGG